rnacentral:misc_RNA from 1 species
GAAAUGCGAUAAGUAAUGUGAAUUGCAGAAUUCAGUGAAUCAUCGAAUCUUUGAAAGCACCUUGCGCUCCUUGGUAUUCCUUGGAGCAUGCCUGUUUGAGUAUCAUGAAAUCUUCAAAGUAAAUCUUUUGUUAACUCAAUUGGUUUCUACUUUGGUAUUGGAGGUCUUUGCAGCUUCACACCUGCUCCUCUUUGUUCAUUAGCUGGAUCUCAGUGUUAUGCUUGGUUCCACUCGGCGUGAUAAGUUAUCUAUCGCUGAGGACACUGUAAAAGGUGGCCAAGGUAAAUGCAGAUGAACCGCUUCUAAUAGUCCAUUGACUUGUACAAUACUUUUAUGAUCUGAUCUCAAAUCAGGUAGGACUACCCGCUUAACUUAAGC